AUGGAACGUCAGAAACUUGCUGAUGAGUUCAAGACACAAACUUUACCUGCAAAUAAGAAACAUAAAUUUGUGGCUGCUGAGGCUUUGAAGGAUAAGUCCUCAGGAAUUCCUUCUGUAUCUUUACCUACCACAGCAAAUAACACAAAUGGAGUGAAUAUGGGAAUCCUGCAAAAAGAAGGUGGUUUUGAUGAGUUAAACUUUUUUGGAACCGGUAAUCAUAGGAUCCCAUACACCGCUACUAACUUUUCUGAAAAAAAUGGUAACUUAAGCUUAGUUCAUGAAAGAGGUUCUGAGGAAACAACCACUCCAGCCUUAUCAGAAAACACUAAAGAUUUAUUAAUGAGAGAAAAAAUGCCAAUGCAGUCAUCAGCAGUUACUGUUUCGAAUGGAGUGGACACAAAUUCUAGCAUUCUGGGAGGCGUUGCAGCCUCAGUAGCUGUUACUGUUUCAGAUUCAGAAUUUUUAGAUGUUUCUGCAGAAAGACCUUCUGCUUCACCCUUUGCUUUUGGUGCAUGUAGCAACUCACUACCCAGAGUUACUAAAGAUGCAGCUACAUUUUCUUUUAAAAAGGAAGCCAGUAAAUAUGUUUUCCCUAAAUUUUAUCUAGGGAAAUGUGAUCGUGAAGCUAAAGCAGUUAACCAGGGUGGAAACAAAUUCGGAAAACAUAGUUCUGUAACUAAAACCACAGUUUCUGAUGCUUCAAACAGUUGUAAUGUAGAAUUAGCAGAAAAUAAGAAAACUUGUUUUUCAUUUCCCUUUGACCAUUCAGAAAGAGAUUGUUCUGCAGUAUCAGGAGUCAGCAAUUCAUCCAAGAUUUUACCAUUAUCCUCAUUUUCUAACCAAUCAGAGAAGCCAGCUGACCAAAAUACAUUAUCUCACAUGGUAGAAAAUGCAUUUUCUCCAAAGAAAACUGUAGAAAAUGAUACGCUGAAACCAUCUGUCUCAGUGGAGCAAAAAGCUAAUGCAUCAGAAUCCGUCACAACAGCACCUUGCAGUACUUCAGAAACCGGCAUUGCAGCUGGGGUGGAUGAUGUCUCAGAGUCUUCCCUUCUCCCCAGCACCAAUGGUACUGAAAAAAGUGAACAAGAGAAGAUGAAACCUCUUGACAAAACACCUCUAAAUCUAGUAAAGUCUGCAUCUCCAGAGUGUACAGAGACUGCAUCUAGACACAGUCACCCAAAAGAUGAAGGUUCUUUUCCAAUGGGCUCAUCUAAGGAAAUAGGAAGUGCAGAAAUACUUGCUGAUAGUAAUUCUUCUUGUAGUCCACUUUUAUGUUCAGCUGUCCUUCCUGCUAAAGAUGAGAAUGCAUCAUCUGAUCACCUGACCAUUACUUCAACACAACAGGAAGUAAAGGUAAAAGAUCAAGGAAGUAUUGCUGAAAACAACUGCUCUAUUCCUGGGAGGGAAGAUGAACUUAAGUCCAGAAUGCUUCAGAAUGCAGCUUGUUCUGCUCCGGGCAUGUGCAAUGAUUCAGUUUCAAGAGCUUCUGUACUUACAGUAAAUGAGUCUGGAGGAAUGCUGAGUGACAGUGAUUCUGACACUGAAGCGCUAAGUCAAACGUCUGUGUCUAGUGAUACCAGCAGUGUAUCAGAAUAUUUUUCUGUUGCAGAAGACAAGAUACCUACUAGAAGAAAAUCAGAGGCAUGA
rnacentral:lncRNA from 1 species